AGCGAACGCUGGCGGCAGGCCUAACACAUGCAAGUCGAGCGCGCGUAGCAAUACGCGAGCGGCAGACGGGAGAGUAACACGUGGGAACGUACCCUUCGGUUCGGAAUAACCCAGGGAAACUUGGACUAAUACCGGAUACGUCCGAAAGGAGAAAGAUUUAUCGCCGAAGGAUCGGCCCGCGGCUGAUUAGCUAGUUGGUGAGGUAACGGCUCACCAAGGCGACGAUCGGUAGCUGGUCUGAGAGGAUGAUCAGCCUCACUGGGACUGAGACACGGCCCAGACUCCUACGGGAGGCAGCAGUGGGGAAUAUUGGACAAUGGGCGCAAGCCUGAUCCAGCCAUGCCGCGUGGGUGAUGAAGGCCCUAGGGUUGUAAAGCCCUUUCGGCGGGGAAGAUAAUGACGGUACCCGCAGAAGAAGCCCCAGCUAACUUCGUGCCAGCCGCCGCCGUAAAAC
rnacentral:rRNA from 1 species